rnacentral:sRNA from 1 species
ACAAAAGAUAUGCGAAGACAAGUCUUC